rnacentral:lncRNA from 1 species
UAAAUAUUAUUGCUUAGGUGGAUGCUUAGGUGGACACCUUAGAUGGAGAGAAGACUCUCUAAUUAUAUAUAUAGAUUUGAACAUUAUUAUUAUGUACAUUCAAUAGGGUAAUUAUGGUAUAUGCUCUCCAGCCCUGUGCCUAUGUGAUGAAAAAAAUAAGCCAUCGUCAAUAAUGAUCUAUAUAAAAUUUUGUAUAUUAUAACCAAACAAAAACUACGAUGUUACUUGAUAUUACCUCUAUAUAACCCUAAUAAAGAGUUAAAGACUCAAAAUUCGGAGAUUACGUACUCAGAUUAAAAGGAUGAUACAUUGGUUUCGAUGUCCGGCUUUCAUUCCCGGACGUGGUCUGGCUUCAUUGUUUUACUUCGCUGAUCGCUGUCCGGUACAGCUGGCUUAUAUCACGGCUUUUCCGGUGCUGUGUUUUCUUUUGGUUUGAA